rnacentral:rRNA from 1 species
GACGAACGCUGGCGGCGUGCCUAAUACAUGCAAGUAGAACGCACAGUUUAUACCGUAGCUUGCUACACCAUAGACUGUGAGUUGCGAACGGGUGAGUAACGCGUAGGUAACCUGCCUGGUAGCGGGGGAUAACUAUUGGAAACGAUAGCUAAUACCGCAUAAUAUUAAUUAUUGCAUGAUGAUUAAUUGAAAGGUGCAAUUGCACCACUACCAGAUGGACCUGCGUUGUAUUAGCUAGUAGGUGAGGUAACGGCUCACCUAGGCGACGAUACAUAGCCGACCUGAGAGGGUGAUCGGCCACACUGGGACUGAGACACGGCCCAGACUCCUACGGGAGGCAGCAGUAGGGAAUCUUCGGCAAUGGACGAAAGUCUGACCGAGCAACGCCGCGUGAGUGAAGAAGGUUUUCGGAUCGUAAAGCUCUGUUGUAAGAGAAGAACGGGUGUGAGAGUGGAAAGUUCACACUGUGACGGCAUCUUACCAGAAAGGGACGGCUAACUACGUG